AUUGAACGCUAGCGGGAUGCCUUACACAUGCAAGUCGAACGGCGUGGCGAACGGGUGAGUAAUGUAUCGGGACGUGCCCAGUAGCGGGGGAUAACUACGCGAAAGCGUAGCUAAUACCGCAUACUUUUGGGGCGGCCGAUGUCGGAUUAGCUAGCUGGUGGGUCAACGGCUUACCAAGGCGAAGAUCCAUAGCUGAUUUGAGAGGACGACCAGCCACACUGGGACUGAGACACGGCCCAGACUCCUACGGGAGGCAGCAGUGGGGAAUUUUGGACAAUGGGGGAAACCCUGAUCCAGCCAUCCCGCGUGUGCGAUGAAGGCCUUCGGGUUGUAAAGCACUUUUGGCAGGAAAGCGGUACCUGCAGAAUAAGCACCGGCUAACUACGUGCCAGCCGCCGCGGUAAUAC
rnacentral:rRNA from 1 species